rnacentral:rRNA from 1 species
GACGAACGCUGGCGGCGUGCUUAACACAUGCAAGUCGAACGGAAAGGCCCUGCUUUUGUGGGGUGCUCGAGUGGCGAACGGGUGAGUAACACGUGAGUAACCUGCCCUUGACUUUGGGAUAACUUCAGGAAACUGGGCUAAUACCGGAUAGGAGCUCCUGCUGCCUGGUGGGGGUUGGAAAGGUUCGGCGGUUGGGGAUGGACUCGCGGCUUAUCAGCUUGUUGGUGGGGUAGUGGCUUACCAAGGCUUUGACGGGUAGCCGGCCUGAGAGGGUGACCGGCCACAUUGGGACUGAGAUACGGCCCAGACUCCUACGGGAGGCAGCAGUGGGGAAUAUUGCACAAUGGGCGGAAGCCUGAUGCAGCAACGCCGCGUGCGGGAUGACGGCCUUCGGGUUGUAAACCGCUUUCGCCUGUGACGAAGCGUGAGUGACGGUAAUGGGUAAAGAAGCACCGGCUAACUACGUG